UCACCACCUGCGGCGCCGCUUGCAGGGAGACAGCGCCGCCUCGCCACCCGAGGCCGCCGCCUCGGCGUCCGGAGCCCUCCGGUCGGGAGCAGCAAAUCCUCGCCGCCGCCGUCCUUGACGACCCCGCGGGCGGCGCCGGAGAUCCCCUCGGGCGGUGGCGAGGGGGGGGGGAGGAGGCGGGAGGGGAGGUUCGGCGGCUAGGGUUCGGCGCCGCCCGAGUCGCCCCAAGCGGAGCGACGCGGGGGCCGGGCGAAGUCAGGAACUUCCUUCGGCGCCCCCAAAUCGCCUCCCUCCAAUGGUGGCAGCCUCGCCUCCCUCCCUCCACCUCGCCCUCCUCCUCUUUGCAGCCCACGCGGCCGUCGGCGGCGCCGCGGGGGCGGUCGGGGUGAGCGAAGGCGGGCAGCUGUGGUGCGUGGCGAAGAACAACGCCGAGGACGGCGCGCUGCAGUCGGCCAUCGACUGGGCCUGCGGCCCCAACGGCGGCGCCGACUGCCGUGCCAUCCAGCAGGGCGGCGCCUGCUACGAGCCGCCCGACCUCCUGGCGCACGCCUCCUACGCCUUCAACGACUACUUCCUCCGAUCCGGCGGCGCCGCCAGCCCCGCCGCCUGCGACUUCUCCGGCGCCGCCGCGCUCAUCGGCCUCAACCCUAGUCAUGGGAACUGCGUGUUUCCUUCCAGUUCAUCCCCCAGAAAUGGCAGCUUCACGGGAAUAACAACCUAUGGUCGCACCGGUGCAGAUUUAAGCCAAAGUUCUUCAUGGCGACUCGACACCCGGUCAUUUAUUUUGUGCAUGUCUCUGUCUGUAACAUUUUUUGUUGCCUCGCAUUUCUGAUGGGUUUGCUUAAACUCCUGUCUGCGUGUCAUGUAUAUGAUCAACCAUUGAGCUGCAGCAAUUCAGUGUGUUCUCUAUGUGGUGGAGCAUGGAGUGAGGAAAAAAGAUCCUCUCUCGGAUGGCUCCCCCCUUUUUUUCCUGGUCUUGCAAAUGAGCAAUCAGAGAGGUGAAAGACAGGCAAGGUCCUGAGCCGGGCGAUCAUCGCCGACCCUGCGCCGGCAGAGAGGGCACGUCGAGUGCGAGGCCAGCCACAGGUCGAUGCACUCGACGUGGUACACGUGGGCGCACGCCGGCAGCAGCUUCGCCAUGGCGCCGACCCGGAUGGCGCCGAGGCAGACCGCGCACUCCGUCGAGCCCGCGCCGUCGCCC